GACGAACGCUGGCGGCGUGCUUAACACAUGCAAGUCGAACGAUGAAGCCGGAGCUUGCUCUGGUGAAUUAGUGGCGAACAGGUGAGUAACACGUGAGUAACCUGCCCUUGACUCUGGGAUAACUGCGGGAAACUGUAGCUAAUACCGGAUACGACCCUCGGAGGCAUCUCCUGGGGGUGGAAAGAAUUUCGGUCAAGGAUGGACUCGCGGCCUAUCAGCUAGUUGGUGAGGUAAAGGCUCACCAAGGCGACGACGGGUAGCCGGCCUGAGAGGGUGACCGGCCACACUGGAACUGAGACACGGCCCAGACUCCUACGGGAGGCAGCAGUGGGGAAUAUUGCACAAUGGGCGCAAGCCUGAUGCAGCAACGCCGCGUGAGGGAUGACGGCCUUCGGGUUGUAAACCUCUUUUAGCAGGGAAGAAGCGAAAGUGACGGUACCUGCAGAAAAAGCACCGGCUAACUACGUGCCAGCAGCCGCCGCAG
rnacentral:rRNA from 1 species